GAGAAGAGUAGUUUCAUUCAAUCAAUACACUAAUGAUCUUCUACAAUUAGAGAUUUAUAUACAUUGAAGUAAUAAUUGCCUCUAACUAGCUAGCUAACAGCUUAACAACUCUCUCCUUUUAUUCAAACAGCACAUAUCAAUACUCCCCUCCUCAAGAUUCCUUGUCCUCAAGGAAUAUAGCUUUGCUACAAAUGUCCAAGAAGAGUCUAUAGAAGAAUGAGUAGCAGCUAGCUCAUGGUCAUGAAGAUGCAAAUAGUUGCAGAACACAUUGAAUCUAAAUGAAAAGAGAGUUCAAGUGAAAUAGAAUUUCUUGGUAUUUGAAGAGUAGCCUUGCUUCAUCUUGCAUUUUAUUAUUUUCAAAUGUCCAAUUGAAACAAAAUUUCUUUGCAAUUUGAAGAACUUCAACUUGCAUUGUAUCAUUUCCAAAUGUCCAAUUGAAUUUUGUCUCAACAUUUGUUUCAUCUCGCAUUUGAUUCUUCCCAUAUCUAACUCUAAUACUUCCAACACAUUUAUGGCCUCUGACAUGAAAUCUCUUUCUCCAAAAGUAAAAUUACAACAAAAAAUUGGACCCCGAGAGACCCACAUCUGCUUAACUACAGAUGCAGCAAUAGUAGGAAGCAGCUGAAAUUGCAAGAGACCCAAAAUAUCGGUAGAAACACAGCAAGGAACUUCCCAAGGACAACUAGCUUUAUGGCCAUCCUCCACCUGUUUGGCAAAUGCUUCACCAGCGCCAUUUUGGGCAUAUGCCAAUAAGCUAGCUAUCUUCGGCAUAAAACCAAACAGAAGAGAAGCACGAAAUGGAUCUUGCUUAUUAAAACCAAUUUUAGUAGCAGGCAAUCCAUCAUUAGCCAAAUUGACCCUGAGCAAUUGGGUAGAAGCCAAGUUAAAGCCUUUGCUACAAUUUGGAAUCACAAGUUCAUCUUCAGAUUUUAAUAGUAUGGCAUUUUUCUCAAUGUCACAUCCUUGUUUUAAUUCAAAUAAAGCAUCUUCAACUAUUUCAAUAUCCUCAACCUGUACAACUGCGUUAGCACCAUCUUCCACAAUUUCAUCAUCAUCACUUUCUUUCACAACAUCAAAGCUUCCUUGAAUUUUUUGUUUCUCUUCACAGGACCUGGUGAAAUCUUCAACAACAUCAUCAUUCUUCCCAUCUUCUUCAUUGAAUUCAAAAUCUCCAAUGACUUCCUCAUCUUCAACAUCAUUUAUAAUGGUGAGCCAGAUUGGCUCUUUGUCGCAAAUAUGAUCCACUGUGUACACUUCUUCACACCAAAGACAAAGACCUUGUUUCCUCCUUUUAUUUAAUUCUGAGAUAGUCUUUGUGAUUGAGAGAUGAGCAUCAGUUUUUGAUUUCCAAAGAUCUGUUUUCCCAACUUGGCCUUCAUUAGUCUUUCUUCCUUGAAUUGAUAAUUCCAAUUCACCUCCACGGUUCCCAUUCUCACUGCCAUUACUCCAAGAAUUCUCUGUUUCUUGGAUUUGGACAUCCAAUUUUGGUUCAAAACUCUGAAAUUUUGUUUCUUCUUGAACCGACUUCUCAGAAAUUUUCAUUUUCUUUUCCCAUCUCUCGGUAAUUUCGAGCAUACCCUGAAUAAUCUUUUCUACUUCCAUGGUCUACUGUUGGUACUUUACAUAAAUCAAAGAAAUUGAAGGAAGAAUGAGUUGCAAGAAAGAGAAAUAUGAACCCUAAAUUCAGAUU
rnacentral:misc_RNA from 1 species